rnacentral:rRNA from 1 species
UUCCUACGGGAGGCAGCAGUGGGGAAUCUUGCGCAAUGGUCGUAAGGCUGACGCAGCGACGCCGCGUGGAGGACGAAGGCCUUCGGGUUGUAAACUCCUUUUCUGGGAGACGAAUAAGGUGGGCAGGCAAUGGUCCACCGAUGACGGUACCCCAGGAACAAGCGCCGGCUAACUUCGUGCCAGCAGCCGCGGUAAGACGAAGGGCGCAAGCGUUAUCCGGAAUUACUGGGCGUAAAGGGCGUCUAGGCGGCCAAUCAAGUCAACGUUGAAAGCCCUUGGCUAAACUGAGGGAUGUACGUCGAAACUGAUUGGCUCGAGGAACGUAGAGGAAGGCGGAACUCUCGGAGUAGCGGUGAAAUGCGUAGAGACCGAGAGGUACCCCGAUGGUGAAGACAGCCUUCUGGGCGUUUCCUGACGCUGAAGCGCUAAGGCCAGGGGAGCGAAGGGGAUUAGAUACCCCCGUAGUCCUGGCUUCAAACGAUGUGGGCUUGGUGUCGGCU